rnacentral:rRNA from 1 species
UGGGGAAUUUUGGACAAUGGGCGAAAGCCUGAUCCAGCAAUGCCGCGUGUGUGAAGAAGGCCUUCGGGUUGUAAAGCACUUUUGUCCGGAAAGAAAUCCUUGGCUCUAAUACAGUCGGGGGAUGACGGUACCGGAAGAAUAAGCACCGGCUAACUACGUGCCAGCAGCCGCGGUAAUACGUAGGGUGCAAGCGUUAAUCGGAAUUACUGGGCGUAAAGCGUGCGCAGGCGGUUUGCUAAGACCGAUGUGAAAUCCCCGGGCUCAACCUGGGAACUGCAUUGGUGACUGGCAGGCUAGAGUAUGGCAGAGGGGGGUAGAAUUCCACGUGUAGCAGUGAAAUGCGUAGAGAUGUGGAGGAAUACCGAUGGCGAAGGCAGCCCCCUGGGCCAAUACUGACGCUCAUGCACGAAAGCGUGGGGAGCAAACAGGAUUAGAUACCCUGGUAGUCCACGCCCUAAACGAUGUCAACUAGUUGUUGGGGAUUCAUUUCCUAGUAACGUAGCUAACGCGUGAAGUUGACCGCCUGGGGAGUACGGUCGCAAGAUUAAAACUCAAAUGAAUUGAC